rnacentral:rRNA from 1 species
UACGUAGGGUGCAAGCGUUGUCCGGAAUUAUUGGGCGUAAAGAGCUCGUAGGCGGCUUGUCACGUCGGAUGUGAAAACUCGGGGCUCAACCCCGAGCCUGCAUUCGAUACGGGCUAGCUAGAGUGUUGCAGGGGAGACUGGAAUUCCUGGUGUAGCGGUGAAAUGCGCAGAUAUCGGGAGGAACACCGGUGGCGAAGGCGGGUCUCUGGGCCGAUACUGACGCUGAGGAGCGAAAGCGUGGGGAGCGAACAGG